CCCUUAGAUGUUCUGGGCCGCACGCGCGCUACACUGAUGCAUUCAACAAGCCUAGCCUUGACCGAGAGGUCCGGGUAAUCUUUGAAACUGCAUCGUGAUGGGGCUAGAUUAUUGCAAUUAUUAAUCUUCAACGAGGAAUGCCUAGUAAGCGUGAUUCAUCAAAUCGCGUUGAUUACGUCCCUGCCCUUUGUACACACCGCCCGUCGCUCCUACCGAUUGAAUGUGUUGGUGAGGAGCCCGGAUUGGCAGCAGUUGGUGGUUCGCCACCGGCUAUUGCUGAGAAGUCCUCCAAACCGCCCCAUUUAGAGGAAGGAGAAGUCGUAACA
rnacentral:rRNA from 1 species